UACGUAGUGAGCAAGCGUUGUCCGGAAUCAUUGGGCGUAAAGCGCGCGUAGGUGGCUUCGUAAGUCCGUUGUGAAAGUCAAAGGCUCAACCUUUGAAAGCCGAUGGAUACUGCGGAGCUAGAGUACGGAAGAGGCGAGUGGAAUUCCUGGUGUAGCGGUGGAAUGCGCAGAUAUCAGGAGGAACACCAAUAGCGAAGGCAGCUCGCUGGGACGCUACUGACACUGAGGCGCGAAAGCGUGGGGAGCGAACAGG
rnacentral:rRNA from 1 species